CCAUUGUUGUCUGCACCUGUUCGCUCUCCUUUACAUUUAUCUGUAUCACCUUUUUCAGCUCCUAAUUUGUUAAAGCCAUAAACAUGCCUCUGAGAAGCUCCUCGACACCGAUCCUGAACUCAUGGAUGUCCCACUGCAAAGACUCCUCGCCGGAGCCGGAGCCACUCCUCUGUAGAAACAGGUCUGUCUCCCUAUCAUUGUGCACCUUUCACCCACCUACAGCUGACACAACAAAAACCCAAGUCUCCCUAGAAUCCGACAUCAAAAUCCAACAGAAACCCAGAAACAAGAAGCUUAACGUCCCCAUACCUCGAAGCCUCCGGAAGAAAUCGAAAACCAAGGCCGAGAAACCAGAGGAACCGGAAGAGGAGAUAAAACCCACUUCGAGAUUGUGGUUCGGGAGCUGAAAGGCUGUUUUCUAGCUCUGGUUUGGGGGAGAAAAUCAUGGAUGGUGAGGACUAUGGUGGGGGGAAGAAGAAAGAGAGUGUUUUGCAGACGCUGGUGGUGGGGGGCGGUGUGGGGAAUAGUGGCGGGAAGAUUUGCGGCGGCGGCGGUGGCGGGAAAGGAUCAGACGGCGGAGAAGGAAGUGGGUUUGGUUUCUUCGAGGGUAAUAAUCGUGGGAGUGGGAGUACUGAUGCUUAUUAUCAGAAGAUGAUUGAAGCUGACCCGGGAAAUGCUC
rnacentral:lncRNA from 1 species